ensembl:lncRNA
CGACAAUUUAACUAAGCACACGUCCACUGAGUUUAAGUAGAUUUAAAAGUAUUGUUUUUUGUUUUUUCCAGGAGUCAUGAUGUCCGUGCUCAAUAUGAAUAAUGUAAGUAGCAUUUCUGUCUUAUGAAUAAUAAAUUGUAACUCACUAUCAGUAUCAGUUAAUGUAAUGUUAAGGACUGAAGAAUAAGAAAGUCUAACAGACUUUUUCCUGAUGUUUAGUCCGGCUCAGAAGCUGCUGAAACUUAUUCUGUGAUCAGCUCAGUACCCUUACCGGCCCUGCCUUUCGACACCAGUGGAGACAUAAAAGUGGAUUCUAAGAUAACAGUGGUCGACACGUAUCAUGUGUACAGCUCCAUCCCUGACACACACGUGACCACCAAUGACGCAGUGUACAGCCUGCUGCAGAUGCACUGAUUAUUCUUAUGCCUGUUAUGCCUUAACAUGUGCUUUAAUUGAAUAGCUUGCUUUUGGAUUUGAAAUGAAUUGGACUUCUGCUGGCUUGUAACUGCAAUGUCACUGAAUGGAGCUCAAGACUGAGUCCAGAUUAAUAAAGAGCUGAUGGAUUUACAGUUGGCUCAUGAAUAAGUUUCACCAGAUGAAAGAGAAAAGCCACGAGUCAGAAAUAAAC